GACGAACGCUGGCGGCGUGCUUAACACAUGCAAGUCGAGCGGAAAGGCCCUUUCGGGGGUACUCGAGCGGCGAACGGGUGAGUAACACGUGAGUAACCUGCCCCAGUCUUUUGGGAUAACCCUCGGAAACGGGGGGCUAAUACCGGAUAUUCACUUUGGUCUGCAUGGGCUUUGGUGGAAAGAUUUUUGGUCUGGGAUGGCUCGCGGCCUAUCAGCUUGUUGGUGGGGUGGAUGGCCUACCAAGGCGACGACGGGUAGCCGGCCUGAGAGGGCGACCGGCCACACUGGGACUGAGACACGGCCCAGACUCCUGCGGGAGGCAGCAGUGGGGAAUUUUGGACAAUGGGCGCAAGCCUGAUCCAGCCAUGCCGCGUGCGGGAAGAAGGCCUU
rnacentral:rRNA from 1 species